CCAGGUUCAAGUGACUCUUGUGCCUCAGCCACCUGAGUAGCUGAGAUUCCAGGCCGGCACCAUCAUGGCCAGCAUCUUGAACUCUGCUCUCCAGCAUAUGCAAUGCUCUGACUUCAAACAACUACAAGCUUUCUCUGAUUUAGGAUCCAACAACACUUUGCAGUGUGUUCCUGUGUUUACUCAAAUCUGGGACCAGGAAAUGAAAAAACAGCAAUGGAAAUUUUUCCAGAGGAAAAAAAUCUCAACAAACAGUGAAGCAAACAGCCACUGGAAAUUGCUUAUGAAGCUCCUGGAAAUAAUGGAUAUAUGACAUCAUAGUUAUGUUACAACAUCUUCAAUGGCAAGCGGUACAAAGCAAGGAAAUGCUGAAGUUUCAUCUGAAUGAGUUAUUCCACACUAAAUAUUCUUAAUUAGUAUCACAGAAAGCAUGGAAAACAGGUUAAUUAUUUACAGAAAUAAAACAAUAAAAUCACCUCUAACAAGCAUGCAUAUAGUAUAUCAAUGUACAAUUUCUGCUGGAAAAGCAAAUCCUCUCCAAAUUAGGAGUUCAGAAAGACUCUGAGAGAAAAAUAAGACUCUUGAAUAACUAGUUGCUUACACCUUUAUUCCUUUCUUGAACACUUAUUUAGCACCUGUUAUAUGUAAGAUUCUUUGUUCAUUGAUAGGACUGCAAAAAAAAAGAGUCAAAGGACACUAUCUGCCCUCAUAAGGCCUGCAAUCUAGGGAGAAAAACUCUCCCUUGUCUACAUAUCUCUAUUGACUUCAUUUGGUUUAUGACUUUAAAUAAGCUCUACAUGCAGACUAAUUUCUGAUUGGUAUUUCUAGCCUGACCUCUACUAUGAGCACAGAACCCACAUACUACCUAGGCCUAAGAAGGUCCACAGGUUGUCUACACAGAUGUCUAAGAGGGCUUGGCUUUCUAAACUGUAUCCAAAUCAGAGCCGGCCAUUUCCCCCAUUCCUUCCUCAGUCCUUCAACCUCUACUAUGGUUCAAGCCCAUCAGCAGAAAUACUUGAUGGGGAAGAGAAGGGACUUAUAAAUAGGCCCAAGAGGACCCCACACUUGUUGUAAUGUUCUGUGGUCUUGAAAUAUCCUUAAUAAUUUUUUUCUUUGAACUUGUGUUUUGUAAGGGAGGUUUGAUGGUACAAUGGAGCAUGUGUUAGAAAAGGAGACACAGAUCAAAGGCCAAUCUUGAUAUUUUAGUACCUUUAAUAUGCCGGCAUUCCCCCCUGCUUUUUAAACAAAAGGCUUUGUAUUCUAAUUUUGCACUGGGCCCCUGUGAGGAUUAAUACUAAGUAUCAACUUGAUUGGACUGAAGGAUGUAAAGUAUUGAUCCUGUGUGUGUCUGUGAGGGUGUUGCCAAAGAAGAUUAACAUUUGAGUCAGUGGACUGGGAGCUGCAGAUCCACCCUCAAUCUGGGUGAGCACGGGCUAAUCAACUGCCAGUGCAGCUAGGAUAAAGGCAGGCAGAGGAAUGCGGAAGGACUAGACUGGCUAAGUCUUCUGGCCUCCAUCUUUCUCCCAUGCUGGAUGCUUCCUGCCCUUGAACAUCAGACUCCAAGUUCUUCAGCUUUUGGACUGUUUGACUUACACCAGUGAUUUGCCAGGGGCUCUUGGGCCUUCAGCCACAGACUGAAGGCUGUACUGUCAGCUUCCCUACUUUUGAGAUUUUGGGACACGUACUGGCUUCCUGGCUCCUCAGCUUGCAGACGGCCUAUCAUGGUACUUCACCUUGUGAUCAUGACCACUGGUAUAGCUUGCCUGGUGGUGGACUUGGAGGAUACCAUUGCAUCAGGGCAUUUCUCCACAUGAUAGCUCCUGCCUGCUGGACAGGUCCUCUCUUGACUAUGUGUAUUCUCCAGAGAAGCAGCAUUUAUAAAAUUGGAUUAAAAUAAACUAACGAAUUAAAUAUGAAUAUGAAAAUAAACAGCUGUUUUCAUGGAAAUUGCAUUGAUGUGGAUUCUUCUGAAGGCAUGUCCCUAAAGAACCUGCCAACAAAUUCUGUAAAGGCAGAAUGAACAUUCUGGAAAAUUUAUGUCCUUGUGUAGAAGGCUAGAAAAAAAAAAGAAGAAAAAAGAAACUCUCAGCCUGAAGGCCUACGUAAAACACAAAGCACUUCUGAAAUCUUUUUGGGGGGCCAAAAUCACACCAAGCAAUGCCUGUGGAAGUGAAUGUAAUCAAGUAUUGCCCUACCAUCUUUCAGCACAACCACAUUAGAAUCUCCUUUAAAGUUUUUCCCACCUUCCCCAGCUCUAAUUGAUCCCCUCAAAACUAUGCUAAAUUUUUAGUAUUCCUAGUCACCUUCCGUAAGAUUGGAGCUAAUUCUGACAAAUAAUCUCUGAAUGAAAAGCCAUUCUACCAGAAAUACCACAUUUCUGGUAGAAAUGUUGGGAGCAUUUUUUUUCUUUUGCUUUCUCUUUUUUCUACUUUCGUUCUUUCAGUGAACUUAGUAGAUAUUAAUCCCUGGAGAGAUUAUUUUAGUUGGUAUCUGAAUUUUAAGGUAACUUUCAGUGCUUGAAAUCUAUCAUAACUAUGUCUUCUAAUUUCGUAGAAUCUUGGUCUCAGAACCUUAAGUUUUUACACGCAUUCUGCUUCAUUGCUAGAGAGCUGAAGAAAGAGGAAUCCCUACUCUGUCGCCCCACACUUUCUAUGUCCCAGGCAAAUAGCAACAGCUCAGUAUAUCCUAAGCACUUUUCUAAGAGUUUUACACUUAUUAAGUCAUUAAUCCUCACAACAACCUCUAUGAAAUUAUUAUUAUGGUUAAGGAAACAAGCACAGAAAGAGUAAAAAUUAAUUAUUUAAGACCAAUUAUUUAAUUAAGACUAGCCAAUUCAAUAAGUACUAACUGGGUGUCAUAUGUACACAUACACAUAUGUAUAAAUAUGUACACAUGUACAUAUACAGUCAAAUAUGUGAUAUGUAUCACUAUACACAGAAAUAUAUACACACACAGUGACAUAUAUAAAUCACUGUGCUGGGUACUAUAAGGCAUAGUUCUCACCCUUAAAACAUGUCUAGUCCUGUGCGGGAAUACCUGCAUCUAGAUACCUAAGGGCAUGACAUGAUCAACUUCAUAAAAGAUAGUACAGCAGAUCAAGUAUGGUCAGGAAGAACUAAAGCUAUUCUCAGUAUGAGCGUGAAAAGCCUUCUCUUCUGUUCUGUGACUCCCUGGAAGGCCCACAGUUCACAGCAAAGUGGGGACCAAAGGAUUGAGGCUCCAUUCCCUAGAGAUGGACACCCAGAAUUCAUGUUUAAAAAUUGAAAAUAAUCUCAUAAAAUAGUUGAAUCUUCCUGUGCAUGAAACAGCUGUAGCCAUGAUGCCCAACUCAGGGCCCUGCCUCAUUGAGUCCCCCCAGAGCUUUCCGCUGGCACUGAUGAUGUCCAGAUCUCCAUGCACACUGGUGCUGACACAGCCCCAUUAGCACAUUACUACUUCUGUCCCAUGAAAUAAAUCACAGCAAGGUGGUCGCCUAUGCAUUUCAGAAACCAGGAAAGUGGAACGCAUCAAGAUGAUCCUUUCACCACGACUAAGGAUGAUUUUGGAGGGUAAAGGAGUAGGAAUCAUAUUUUCUACCAUCACAGUUCAUUCCUUUACCUCUUCCCCAAAAGACCAUGAUAAGCUCCCAUGCUUAAGAGGAUCUUCAUUAGGAAGCAAUUACAGUCUAAGGCUAAAACUGUAGGCAGUCAUUUUAUUACUUUAGAAAAAUGUUUUGUAAAUAAACUUGGGAAGGAGGCACCAAAGUUGCUGUGAAAAGAAGAACAAAUUAUGAACAAAAAAGGCCAAUAAAUAAAUGGUAGUUAUCAUGACAUCCAUAGCGGGUCUUCCAUAAGUCAUAGUAAUCAUUCCCUGCAGGAAAGCAGCCACUAUCCAUCCAGGGACACUAACAUCAUUUUAUUCAAAGACUUGAGGGGGCCACCAUUCACAUAUGGUAGCCACACAAUCUUUGGACAAGAAAAUGAAGAGUUUGGGGAACAGCAUCAUCUGCCUUAGGAAAAACUCAGAGCCCUGGUCUAGAAUAAACUCUAGGGCUCUGAGAAAAUGAUUCUCUAAAACUAUCAGAAGUCUACGGAAAUAUGGAGAUUUUUUUCAAAGCUAUGUUUAAAUACAUUCGGUAAAUCUGAAAUAUAUUAAUAAACAUUGUUAUGUCUUUCUAUUAAGAAUAAUUUUGAUAAGAAUUCCCCACCAAAAUCACCUCCAUGUUGGCUGGACAACCCGAUGUCAUUGCUAAAAGAGUGAAAAUGUUUCAGUCUCUGAUAUUACCAAGUAAACAUAAUAAAUGGCUGUGAUGGUUAACACUCAGUGUCAACUUGGUUGGAUUGAAG
rnacentral:lncRNA from 1 species